rnacentral:ribozyme from 1 species
UUGCCUUUCUUUUUUCUUUUUUUCUUUUUUUCCGAUUUCCGAUUAAUGAUGCUGUGGAUUCCUUGUGCGUGCUGUCUCGACGGGAAAAAAAAAAAAACGCUUGCCUGCACUGCUGCAAUGAACUACAGAAG